rnacentral:rRNA from 1 species
GCAAGUCGAACGGUAGAGAGGUGCUUGCACUUUGGUGAGAGUGGCGAACGGGUGAGUAACACGUAGAUAAUCUGCCCUCGGUUUGGGGAUAGCCCAUGGAAACAUGGAUUAAUACCGAAUACCCUCUUGUUUCUUAAGAAACGUAGAGGAAAGGUCCUAAGGGACCGACCGAGGAUGAGUCUGCGGCCCAUUAGCUAGUUGGUGGGGUAUAGCCUACCAAGGCAACGAUGGGUAGCCGGCCUGAGAGGGUGACC